AUUGAGCGCUGGCGGCAGGCCUAACACAUGCAAGUCGAGCGGAUGAAGGGAGCUUGCUCCUGGAUUCAGCGGCGGACGGGUGAGUAAUGUCUAGGAAUCUGCCUGGUAAUGGGGGAUAACGUCCGGAAACGGGCGCUAAUACCGCAUACGUCCUGAGGGAGAAAGUGGGGGAUCUUCGGACCUCACGCUAUCAGAUGAGCCUAGGUCGGAUUAGCUAGUUGGUGGGGUAAAGGCCUACCAAGGCGACGAUCCGUAACUGGUCUGAGAGGAUGAUCAGUCACACUGGAACUGAGACACGGUCCAGACUCCUACGGGAGGCAGCAGUGGGGAAUAUUGGACAAUGGGCGAAAGCCUGAUCCAGCCAUGCCGCGUGUGUGAAGAAGGUCUUCGGAUUGUAAAGCACUUUAAGUUGGGAGGAAGGGCAGUAAGUUAAUACCUUGCUGUUUUGACGUUACCAACAGAAUAAGCACCGGCUAACUUCGUG
rnacentral:rRNA from 1 species